GUGGGGAAUUUUGGACAAUGGGCGCAAGCCUGAUCCAGCCAUUCCGCGUGCAGGAUGAAGGCCUUCGGGUUGUAAACUGCUUUUGUACGGAACGAAAAGCCUCUGGUUAAUACCCGGGGGUCAUGACGGUACCGUAAGAAUAAGCACCGGCUAACUACGUGCCAGCAGCCGCGGUAAUACGUAGGGUGCGAGCGUUAAUCGGAAUUACUGGGCGUAAAGCGUGCGCAGGCGGUGAUGUAAGACAGCUGUGAAAUCCCCGGGCUCAACCUGGGAACUGCAUCUGUGACUGCAUUGCUGGAGUGCGGCAGAGGGGGAUGGAAUUCCGCGUGUAGCAGUGAAAUGCGUAGAUAUGCGGAGGAACACCGAUGGCGAAGGCAAUCCCCUGGGCCUGCACUGACGCUCAUGCACGAAAGCGUGGGGAGCAAACAGGAUUAGAAACCCGAGUAGUCC
rnacentral:rRNA from 1 species